AAUUAACGAUAAAAGUUAGGAGUAUUGAAUGAGCGACUUGGAUAAAAUUUAAACUGGUAUUGAUAAAUUAAUUUUCUUACGAGUAAAUUUGGGUUAUUUAGACCGUCCAAAUUAUUGGCCCAAAGUUCUAGAUGAGCUAACUUUGGUGAUGACCACACUGAUCCGUAAAUGAAUAUCUGUUCAGCUCAAUCCAUCCAAACCUGCAUGAAUUGGCCAAGUUUGAUUUCAUUUGUUGAAAUUUGACACUUGUAGUAGUUAUAUGCAUG
rnacentral:lncRNA from 1 species